GAUGAACGCUGGCGGUAUGCUUGACACAUGCAAGUCGAACGGUCACUUCGGUGAUAGUGGCGGACGGGUGAGUAACGCGUGAGAAUCUGUCUUCAGGUCGGGGACAACAGUUAGAAAUGACUGCUAAUACCGGAUGUGCCUUUGGGUGAAAGAUUUAUUGCCUGAAAAAGAGCUCGCGUCAGAUUAGCUAGUAGGUGGUGUAAGAGACUACCUAGGCUCCGAUCUGUAGCUGGUCUGAGAGGACGAUCAGCCACACUGGAACUGAGACACGGUCCAGACUCCUACGGGAGGCAGCAGUGGGGAAUUUUCCGCAAUGGGCGAAAGCCUGACGGAGCAAUACCGCGUGAGGGACGAAGGCUUUUGGGUCGUAAACCUCUUUUCUCAAGGAAGAUGAUGACGGUACUUGAGGAAUAAGCAUCGGCUAACUCUGUG
rnacentral:rRNA from 1 species